AUCACUGUGUGGGUUUCCCCUGCAUGCUCGUGUCCCCUCCCGAUCCCAAAUAUGCACUGGCUAGUGGAUUAAUGGUUAUUUCAAGUUACCCCGAAUGAAGUCAGUCAGAUGGCCUUUCCUGGAGAAACUGUAGGGGAGGUGAGGAGCCGGUCACACUGAAAAACAUGACAGUUCAACCGGAUCCUAUUAAAAUACCAGGACAAAUCUUGCUUGAAGGGACUGCCUAUGUGGCUGAGUCGCUGACAUUACUUAAGGCUGAAGUGACUAUACACAAGAAACUUCUCUUUUGGUGGAAACUUCCCUGUAGUGAUUCCGAAUGCACUUUUGAUCUCUGCAAGCCGCUUCAUCUGGGACCAAGUUGCUCAGUUAGCAGUGGAUUCUUGUACUUUCCACCAACAAAAUUCAAUAUUCCAAAACAACUCAUCUCUACCUAUUGGGCCAGUGGUCAAUACAAAGCCACAAUUGACCUGAAGAGUCCCAAAGCAAAUGUUGGCUGCAUUGAACUGUAUUUCAGCAUUGAGCAAGAUGAGCAAUAGUUAUCAGUAAUUGAGCAUAACAUUCAACAGUCCUUGGCUGAAUGUGUUAUUCCCUCCCCAAACUACCCUGCCCCUCUACACCCCCCCCCCCCCCCCCCCCCUCCCACAAAUACUAAUUUUGUCAGAUUUUUCUUCUCAAAAAUCCCUGCACUUUAAAAAAAAAAAACCCUUUUGGGCUGACUAGAUUUCUCUCAGACUUUGUUAGAUUCCAGUUUCAUUUUCUUCUCGAUUUCUCCUGAAGUCAAGGUUGACUUGCUUCUACUUCAGUUUUGUGGGUUCUGGGAUUGCUGAACAGUCCUAUGCUGGAUAUGUCCUAUGUCCUAUGUUAAACAGAUGGGUGAGCAGUUCGGGAGCAGCUUCCACUGUUUUCCACUGCCUCCCGUGGGCUCCCAAAGAGAUGUCAAGGUAUCAGUACCAUCCCAAAUGCUGCGUCUCCAUUUGAGGAAGUCAUGGAAUCUAUCAAUAAGGAUGUCACCUUUAUGUAAGAAUUUCUGGACCUGCUUCAAGUAUCCCCCUUGUAAUUUCCUGAGAUGACAGAGCUUGAAAUAGAAUAUCUGUUUCAGAACUCUGGUGUUGGGCACACAAAAGAUACUAUCUUCUCAUUGGAAAUUGCACGUUCUGUCUUGAAUGCCAGAAUGUUUGUCCUGGAAGCAAAUGUUGACAUUGGACUUUACUGAGGUAGUAUUUAUGGGAUGACUCCACAUGUUGAGGUGCCUGAAAAAGUGAAGCCUUUCCUCUGAAAGGUACAAGAGGGUAUGGAUGCUACUAAUUAGUAGACUGUCAUGUUUGAGGUCUUUAUCUUCCAAUACAUUGUUCCUCUGAUAAAUAAAGGCUGUUCCCGGGGGAUUGGGGAAUGGGAAGAUUAGCCAUUGAUGUUUGCUUUCACUGAGAGAUACUUCACAUGAUUAGAAAAUGACUCAUGGUUUAUGUAAUCUUGUCACAGAUCUUAAUUCGCAGAACAUGGGCUUGUACAUAGGCCUAGGUUGAUAGAAGACCUUUAUUUUGCAGAUGUUCAGUAUAAGGUUCAUUCUCUUAUCUGCUUUGGUGAAUGAGUCCGUGAUGAUUUGGAGGCUGGCUUCUGAAUGUGCACAUUUGCAGUCACUGUCUCUACACUGUGGUGUGAUGGAUAAGAUUGGACUGAUGAUGCAGAAACAGAUGAAGCUGAACCAUUUCCUUUCUUGUUGUAAAUCAGCUGCAGGCCAGUGGGAUGUUUGUUGGAAGCGAGUCAUAGGAUCAUAGAGUCAUACUG